rnacentral:lncRNA from 1 species
AAAGCAACUUUUUUCUCUCUUUUUUUCUCUGUGUGUGUGUGUCUGUGUGUGUGUGUGUGUGUAGGGCCUGUUCAUCUUCCUGAUAUAUGGGGUGUACAACACAGAGAACUGUGCCAGCUCCAGACCCUCCAGCUCAUUAACCAGCUCCCGGCCCGCCAGCUCCCCCACGCCUUCCCCCCAGGGCCCCCAAGGUCCCAGCCUGGACGAAGGGGGGGACAAGACCUGCUCCGGCCAGCCCAGCCCACUCCCCAACCCCACCUACCCCCACACCCUAGGCCUUGUGGAGGAGAACGCCAACAGAGGUCAGCUGUCCAUUCCUUGUGUCCCAAAGAGGCUAAAGGAUUCCCACAGUCAUGCUACAGGUGCCUUGAUCCCCAGAAUGGUAAUAACACACAUACUGUACACAUACACACAUACACAUUCAGUGCAUUCGGAAAGUAUU